AUUGAACGCUGGCGGCAGGCCUAACACAUGCAAGUCGAACGGUAACAGGAAGAAGCUUGCUUCUUUGCUGACGAGUGGCGGACGGGUGAGUAAUGUCUGGGAAACUGCCUGAUGGAGGGGGAUAACUACUGGAAACGGUAGCCAAUACCGCAUAACGUCGCAAGACCAAAAAGGGGGACCUUCGGGCCUCUUGCCAUCGGAUGUGCCCAGAUGGGAUUAGCUAGUAGGUGGGGUAACGGCUCACCUAGGCGACGAUCCCUAGCUGGUCUGAGAGGAUGACCAGCCACACUGGAACUGAGACACGGUCCAGACUCCUACGGGAGGCAGCAGUGGGGAAUAUUGCACAAUGGGCGCAAGCCUGAUGCAGCCAUGCCGCGUGUAUGAAGAAGGCCUUCGGGUUGUAAAGUACUUUCAGCGGGGAGGAAGGGAGUAAAGUUAAUACCUUUGCUCAUUGACGUUACCCGCAGAAGAAGCACCGGCUAACUCCGUG
rnacentral:rRNA from 1 species